GAUGAAGAACGUAGCGAAAUGCGAUAAGUAAUGUGAAUUGCAGAAUUCUGUGAAUCAUCGAAUCUUUGAACGCACAUUGCGCCCGCCGGUAUUCUGGCGGGCAUGCCUGUUCGAGCGUCAUUUCAACCCUCAAGCACAGCUUGGUGUUGGGACUCGCGUUAAUUCGCGUUCCCCAAAUUGAUUGGCGGUCACGUCGAGCUUCCAUAGCGUAGUAGUAAAACCCUCGUUACUGGUAAUCGUCGCGGCCACGCCGUUAAACCCCAACUUCUGAAUGUUGACCUCGGAUCAGGUAGGAAUACCCGCUGAACUUAAGCAUAUCAAUAAGCGGAGGA
rnacentral:misc_RNA from 1 species